UUUCUCCAUCAUCUCCCCCACCCGGAGUUGAGGCUGAGCUUCUCAGUUGCUAGGCAACAGGGGUCACAGUUUUCAGGUCUUCAACCUAGUCAAAAAGAAGACAUGAUCUUCAGAGAAAAGGCGGAUACUCGGCAGCAGUGAGAAUUUCAAUACAUACGGAGGUUUCUGAUUUUUUUUUAUCAUGCUAAAGGCUGAAAUGGAGAAAUUUUGACUUGUCAAAAGAUUGUGGGAACAGGUUUUUAAGUUCUGGUGAUUAGAAUCUAUCACUGAAACAAUAUGAAGAAAAUACAGUCAAGCCUCUUUUUGAUGAACGCACUGACAUGUGGCUUAGGAUUUUAGCUGCCAGGAGAAUGAUGAUCAAGACACGUCAAAAACAGAUCUUGGGAGAUGAAUUUGGGGGCUGAUUUGGAGAUGAGGGUUUUUUGGUUUGGGUUUUUUGGUUUGGUUUUAACAUUCCUUCUCAGACAUUACUGCAUUCUGGCAUGUUUAAGAGCAGUGCUGCAGGCAACACAGCCGCUCCUGAAGGUCAGCUGCAAGAAAGCUCAUUCCCCACCCCUUUUCCUAGCACCAAGUCAGCACUCCCUUUAAACUUUAAUAAAGGGCAGGAGAAAGAACCUAUUCCUCAACCGGAGAGGAACACGGCACCACUAUGUAAUUGCAUUUGACAGUACAUUCUGUAGAAUCGUUCUUGGACACUGCUCUCACUGAGCUUACCGUCAGGACUUGAUUUCCAUGGAGAAGUUUGAUUCCCUCCAAUACGCUGGCUGCCAGCCCUCCUCACUAAGAAAGGGAGAAAAAAAAAAAGUAGAAAUUGAGCUACAGCUUCAGCGCUGAUGCCUGCGCAGUCACAAGACGCUCUGCACAGACGGGGUAUCAAGCCAGAGCCCACGUCCAGCAAUUGGCCACACUGAGGUCAGAAUGAAAUCAUUCUGGAAAAACUGGAAAUGCUCUCCUAGGCCACACUAUUUUGAAAUGAUCCUCAGAAGCGUGAUAAGUAUCAGAGGCGGCAAGCUGUAGCCGCCUGAGUUAAACCUAGCUGCGUUCCCUCAUCUGUGUGUUAGGGCCUUAAGAUUUACAGAAAAUCUCAAACCACUGAUUUGACAGUGCAACCUUUAAAACACGGCCAAGCCUUCCAGGGCUUCUGGCUUCUCCAUAUCACCUUUAUGUGCAUGAAGGUACUUUCCUUUUUGCCUAUUUCCCUACAUAUGCUCUCAAUGCUAUUAAGAUAUCAAAUGCAGGAAUGACAACAAGAGAGUCCUAAUUAAACAGCAGCAGCGUGUGCCCUCGAAGGAACAGCCUGAACCCAAAUAAGUGGAGCUUGGGACCGGAAAGGGGGAAAAAGACAAUGGGGGCUUUGAAAUCAGCUGGGUUUAACGCAACGGGUCUGUUGUGUGUAUUUAAAAGGCCAGAUGACACGAAGGGCUCUCCGUGCUGUUAGGACAGAGACCAAGCUCUGGAUUCACCAAGACAGAUGGGUAAUAGUCACUGAGUCCUGUGACCAGAAUCCAAUUGUAAUUGGCCUCAGAGAUCACUUAUGGCAAUCAGGGAAGUAAUAGGCUUCUGAAUAAUUAUGAAUAAUUAGGCACAUUUAUGAAUAAUUACACCGAUAAUAACUAUCUAAUUCACUCCAUUUUAAAAUAGUAAUUCAGUCAUUAUGGAUUGGGUGCUCACUCCCUUCAUCCUGCCUCUGCAUAUUCAUGGCCUAAUCCAUCCUCCAAUCUUACAAUGACUGGAGUCCCUCUCCAGGUCAGCACUGGACUCACCUUGGGGACAAAGGACCAUCCUGGUCCUCGGGGUUGGAGUUUCCUAUCCCUUUGAUUAAUUUGAGAGGACUCUGGGCAGUAGAGAGAUCAGAAAGGAUAUAAGAAAAUAUUUUCCUAAAACAUCGAAGCUUUGCCAUCUUGUGACUCAUUUAUCAAUAUGCAAAUGACUUCAAAGUAAUGUCCACGAGCUCUUUGCUCUUUUCAAUACUGAUGAUAAAAAGAAGCAGCUGCUUGCACAUGUCAUUGUAGAGAAUACCAGUGCAUUAGACAAGGGCAGUCUUUUUAUAGCAUUUCUGAUCGAGUACUAGUCUGCUUAGAAAAUCAGGAGUCCUGGCUGAGUGCGGUGGCUCACACCUGUAAUCCCAGCACUUUGGGAGGCCAAGAUGGGCAGAUUGCCUGAGCCCAGGAGUUUGAGACAAACCUGGGCAACAAAGGGAGACCUUGUCUCUACAAAAAAUAAUAAAUAACAAAAAUUAGCCAGGCGUGGUGGCGUGCACCUGCAGACCCAGCUAGCUACUUGGGAUGCUGAGGUGGGAGAGUCACUGGAGCCCAGGAGGUUGAGGCUGAAGUGAGUCAAGAUCGCACCACUACACACUCCAGCCUGGGCAACAGAGCAAGACUCUGUCAAAAAAAGAAAGGAAGAAAGGAAGGAAUGAAGGAAGGAAGGAAGUCAGAAGCCCCGAUUUGAAGAUGGAAUCUUAAAAUGAUGUGUCCUCAGGCUUCAGACAUAAUAUGUCCUCGCCCUGUGGCCAUAUUCUUUCCUCCCCCAUAUUCUCUCCUUUUCUUUUAUUUCUGUUCCUCCCCCUUUUCUUUCCCUCCCCCCUCCACCAUCGUUUGCCUACUUCUCUAUCACUUUCAUAUCUCUUCCUGUUAUAUUCCAACAACGACAAUCAAAAGUUAGCUUAUAUUUUUCUGAUUCCAAACAUACUGUCUGUGAACUCAAAAAAAUUUAAAAACAUCGGGAUGAGAAAUUUUUUUAAAAAGUUAAAAAUCAAUAAUCUCAGCACCAGAGAGAAGCAAUAUUAACUUAAUACAGUAUUUUAAGGUGUUUUCUAAACAUACUUUACACAACUGAGAUUGCAAAAACAAUUUUGCAUCUUGACAUUUCCCUGAACCUUAUAGAAUCAGCAUUUUCCUUAUUGUUAAAAACUCAUGUUUGAUGGUAAAAUCAUAAAAUAUGAAAGUAUACAUGAUCAUUAAUUCCCUAAACUUUGGCAACUCAAUAUUUCCCAUUUGUGCUAUUUUGCCAUGCUCUUUUGUGGGGCAGUCUUCUUUUGUUCUUAUAUCUCGCCACAUUCUUUCCUGUUCCUUUCUCUUCCUCUUAAAUUAAGACUUGGGUAUAAGGAGGUAUGCUGCCCCUGAAUUAAGACAGGGGAAUAACGUGACUGGUUUAGUGCACAGGAAGGCUUACCACACACAAUCUUUUCAGGUACAAGCAACAUUAAUAUCCCGCAGUUUAACUAUCAACAAAAUCUUUUAUGCAGAAUUAACCAUAACAGAAUUCCAUCUUGGACCCAACCCAAGGGGGCUCAGUAACUGAAAUACAUUAUGAUGCAUCCUUUCCUGAGGCUUGAUUACAGGAAAAUUGAGACAUAAAUGGCAUCCUAUUGAGCUUCUGGAAUACUAGUUUCCAAAUAAUUAUCAAUGGAUCCCAUACAUGAGAAUUGCCCAGGGAGCUUUUUAAAAAUGUGUCUUCCCGGACUGCACCAAGUGAUAUUUUGAUUUAAGAGAUCAGGAGGGAGGAUCAGGCUGGGCAGGAAAGAAGGCAGCAGAUAUGCAGUCUCAUGUCUGCCAUGCCAAGAAUCCUGCAUGUAAUUUACCGAGGAGCAAUAUGGUCUGAUGAGUGGCAUGGUCAGACAGACAAAGGAGAAUGAAGACUCCCAUGCAAGUGACUGGCAGACACUGGCUGAUCAUGAGAAAGGACACCAUGUGGUAUGAAGACAGGGCUGGAAGUAUGUGGAUCAGUUAAGAAAUUGUGGUAACCCAGAAAUCUAGUUUACAAAUGAUGAGAACAUGAAAUGAGGCAGUACCGUAGGGGAGUGGAGAAGCACAUUGAUAUGAAAGCUGUAUAUGGUAGAGUUAAUAAACUCAUGUGAAUGUUGGAUGUGAGAACUAAAAGUCAAAAUCAGGAUGACCCCCAGUUACCUGACUAGAAUGAAAUCCAG
rnacentral:lncRNA from 10 species